UUCAAAAAGAUACUUAAAUGUUGUGAGCAACAUCUCCGAAACUUACAAUUAUUAUACAUUUUUUGAGCCUUUUAUUCCUUAUCUAUAAAAUUCAGUCUUAUCUUCUGAGAUAUUGAAGAAAACCCGAUAGAAAAAGCAUACGUUGAGAGCUCAACAUGCUUUGGUUUUGAAGCUGAGGAUCUCUCUUAAAGCAACUUAUCUAUUGCUAGGGAAAGAG
rnacentral:lncRNA from 1 species